rnacentral:rRNA from 1 species
UACGUAGGCAGCGAGCGUUGUUCGGAAUUACUGGGCGUAAAGAGUGUGUAGGCGGUGUUCCCAGUCUGUUGUGAAAUCUCCCGGCUUAACUGGGAGGGUGCAGCGGAAACUAGAAUGCUAGAGGGUGGGAGAGGUAAGCGGAAUUCCUGGUGUAGCGGUGAAAUGCGUAGAUAUUGGGAGGAACACCAGUGGCGAAGGCGGCUCACUGGACCGGUACUGACGCUGAAGCGCGAAAGCGUGGGGAGCGAUCCGG